AAUUUUGCAUAUAAAAGACGACUUGCCAAGCUAUGCCUUAUUCCAACAUUUGGACACCUUAACAUUAUACCAUUGAAGAGAAAUUCACAUAGUUCAAAGAUGAGAACAAAGAAUGCUCUGAUGGCUGUUGUUGUGCUUUUGGUCCUGAUUGGUUCUUUUGAUUUAGCGGACUCGUUUUUCACUAGACCACAAUGUUAUAAGAAAUUUUGCUGGAAUAACUGGGAUUGCGGCAUCAUGCAUCCAUCUUGCUACUGUCGAAAAAUCUAUAAAGGCAGUCGUAUUGGGCGUUGUUCCUGGUGGUAACAUCGGAGAAUAGGCAAUAUGGCUACAUGGUCUAUUUAUGACCUUAAGACAUAAAAAAAAGAUAAUAAAAAUUUAUUAUUA